CGGCCAUGGCUCACGGGCCCAGCCGCUCCGCGGCAUGUGGGAUCCUCCCAGACCGGGGCGCGAACCCGGUUCCCCUGCAUCGGCAGGCUGACGCGCAACUACUGCGCCACCAGGGAAGCCCUGUGUUUUUUUAAAAUCUUUUUAUUAGAAAGCAUAUUUUUGACUUUGGUUUUCCAAUUUAGGAACUUAGAAGUCAGUCCAUUUUAUUGUUAAAAUACAAGAUUCAUAUAUGAAGUUCCUAAAUCCAUUUUCUUUGAGCAGGCAUAUGGGCAACAAAGUUACGGAACCUAUGGACAGCCCACUGAUGUCAGCUAUACCCAGGCUCAGACCACUGCAACCUAUGGGCAGACCGCCUAUGCAACUUCUUAUGGACAGCCUCCCACUGGAUAUUCUACUCCAGCUGCCCCCCAGGCAUACAGUCAGCCUGUCCAGGGGUACGGCACUGGUGCUUAUGAUACCACCACUGCUACAGUCACUACCACCCAGGCCUCCUAUGCAGCUCAGUCUGCAUAUGGCACUCAGCCUGCUUAUCCAGCCUAUGGGCAGCAGCCAGCAGCCACCGCGCCUGCAAGACCACAGGAUGGUAACAAACCCGCUGAGACUAGUCAACCUCAAUCUAGCACAGGGGGUUACAACCAGCCCAGCCUAGGAUAUGGACAGAGUAACUACAGUUAUCCCCAGGUACCUGGGAGCUACCCCAUGCAGCCAGUCACGGCACCACCAUCCUAUCCUCCUACCAGGUCAGUCUUCUCAUUCUUGUUCUUGUGGCCAGUGAGCUAGUAGAAUAACAAAACAGAUUUUUUUCAGGCUGACCAGCUUGCUUCUGCU
rnacentral:lncRNA from 1 species